GGAGCCGCGCGAGCUCAGCAGGCUUUCUGCCAUCAUCUUUAUUAAAGCUCGGCGUGUGACUUGUCAACUGUCCGCAGUCCUCCUCAAGAUGCUUCAUUCAAGACAAUUAAGGCUAAUGGGGGGGCUGAAGACAUCUUGAAGGCGGCUCUAUUUAUAAUGCAGGGAGGUGACAGUAUUUCUGGAGCUUGGCCUCUUAUUGGCCCGACGACUCCUCCGUUUCCAUAAAGAGAAAGCGGGGAUUCUGCUGAGCCAUCAAAUAAAGCCAUUUAUACCUCGUGAGCUUUACGUGCGCCUGUGGCUAGCCAGUCUGUCCUCACCGUCCUUCAGGUGUCGCCUGUCCUUCUCGGAGUUGGGUUGUAAGAAAACACACAGAACACAAUGGGAGAGUAAG